rfam:TPA: Bos taurus chromosome 14, whole genome shotgun sequence.
UCCCUGGUGGUCCAGUGGUUAAGACUCUGUGCUUCUAAUGUACGGGGCACAGGUUCAAUCCCUGGUCAGGAAA